GACAGAGGAUGCAAGCGUUAUCCGGAAUGAUUGGGCGUAAAGCGUCUGUAGGUGGCUUUUUAAGUCCACCGUCAAAUCCCAGGGCUCAACCCUGGACAGGCGGUGGAAACUACCAAGCUGGAGUACGGUAGGGGCAAAGGGAAUUUCCGGUGGAGCGGUGAAAUGCGUAGAUAUCGGAAAGAACACCAAGGGCGAAGGCACUCUGCUGGGCCGAAACUGACACUGAGCGACGAGAGCUAGGGGAGCAAAUGGG
rnacentral:rRNA from 1 species